AGCUGGGAUAGCUCAGCUGGUAGAGCGUGAGACUCUUAAUCUCAGGCUUGUGGGUUUGAGUCCCACGUCGGAGA